UACGUAGGGGGCAAGCGUUGUCCGGAUUUAUUGGGCGUAAAGAGCGUGUAGGCGGCUUGGUAGGUCCGCUGUGAAAACUCGAGGCUCAACCUCGAGAUGUCGGCGGAAACCACUUGGCUAGAGUCCGGAAGAGGAGAGUGGAAUUCCUGGUGUAGCGGUGAAAUGCGCAGAUAUCAGGAGGAACACCGGUGGCGAAGGCGGCGUUCUGGACUGUUUCUGACACUGAAAAACGAAAGCCAGGGGAGCAAACGGG
rnacentral:rRNA from 1 species